GAAAGAAAAAUUAAUAAAUUUAAAAAAUAAUAAAAAAAUUUUUAGAAAAUAUUUUAAUUGGGGAGUUAAAGUAUUAGUAUAGAAAUAAUUAAAAAUUUUAUAGGGAAUUAGUAAUGUAAAUGAAAUUUGAAAAAAAAAUAAAAAUCAUUAAAAAGUAAUUUUUAUUUAAUGUAUCUUGUGUAUCAGAGUUUAUUAAUUAAAAUUUUAAUUUUAAAAUUUCUCGAAUUAAAAAGAGUUAAUUAAUUAAAAAAAUUAUUAUAGUAUAAAUAUUUUAAAUAGUUAAUUAGAAAUGAAAUGUUAAUCGUUUUUUAAGAUAUCUAGUUUUUUUAGAAAAAAAUUUAAUUUUAAAAUUGUUAGAUUUUAAUUUUUAAUUAAAAAAAAAAUUAAAUUAAAUAAAAUUAAUUUUUAAAUUUUAUUUAUUAACAACUUAAAUAUUUUAAGGGAUAAGCUUUAAAAUAAAUUUUUAUAUUUAAUUAUAAAUUAUUUUAAAAAUUUUAAAAUUUAUAUUGUUUAAAAAUUUUAUUUUAUUAUAAAUAAUUUUAAAUUAAGAAAAAUUUAAUUAAAAUUAAAAUUUUUAUAAAAAUAUUAUUUUAAAUAAUAAAAAUUAAGAUAUAAUGAUAAAAUUAGUAUAAUAAUAAUAAUUAAAAUAUAAUUUAUAAAAAUUUAUUGAAAAUUUAAUAAAAAGAAUUCGGCAAAAUUUUAUAUUCACCUGUUUAUCAAAAACAUGUCUUUUUGAUAUUUUAAUAAUUUAAAGUCAAAUCUGCCCACUGAUUAAAAAUUAAAGGGCUGCAGUAAUUUGACUGUACAAAGGUAGCAUAAUCAAUAGUCUCUUAAUUAGUGACUUGUAUGAAUGAUUUGAUGAAAUAUAAACUGUUUCUUAUUAAUUAUAUUGAACUUAAUUUUUUAAUUAAAAAGUUAAAAUUUAAUUAAAAGACGAGAAGACCCUAUAGAGUUUUAUAAAAAAUAAUUAUUUUAUUUUUUUUUAGUUUAAAAUUUAAAUAAUUAUUUUUUAUUAUGUUGGGGUGAUAGAAAAAUUAAAUUAACUUUUUUUAAAAAAAAAAAUACAUUAAUAAGUGAAUAAAUUGAUCCAUAAUUUAUGAUUAUAAGAAAAAAUUACCUUAGGGAUAACAGCGUAAUUUUUAUUUUUAGUUCGAAUAAGAAUAAAAGUUUGCGACCUCGAUGUUGGAUUAAGAUAAAAUUUAAAUGCAAAAGUUUAAAAUUUUGAUCUGUUCGAUCAUUAAAAUCUUACAUGAUCUGAGUUCAAACCGGUGUAAGCCAGGUUGGUUUCUAUCUUUAAUAAAAUAAAAUAUUAUAGUACGAAAGGAUUUAAUAUUUAAAAUAAUUUUAUUCUAAAUGAAUUUUAUUAAAAAAAAAAUAAUUUAAAUUUAUUAAUUAAAGAUUAAAAUAAAAUAAAAUAAUUAAAUAAAUUAAUUA
rnacentral:rRNA from 1 species